UACGAGGUCAUAAGGUUUUUUUUUCGUUUUUCCGUACGUCACGGUCAAGGGAGGAACCGGGCCCAGAGCGGGUUGGGGAAGUGGCCCAAACCUGCCAACCUAGACCCCGGGUCCAGCCUCCGCCUGAAACCCAUCUUGGUCCUCAGCAUUCUACACGUUUCUGCCCCCAGUCCCGUCGGGAAGUCGCAAUCUCCAGAUCUGUUUCCCUGUAUAGGACUGUCGGUGAUCCGGCUGGAGACCUUGAGGUAAAUCAGCAUUGGUCUAGGGGCCUUGGUCCCCUGACUCGGAUCCCUGGAUUCAAGGUAGAUCAUGGGCCUUGCCCAGCUGCGCGUGGAGACCUCUGGCUUCUCCCUCUCUCUGCCUUUCUUCUUUUCUAAGCCUUCCCUCUUUGGCGGGAAGCUGGGCUUUUGCACCAUUUGGGGAAAGGAUUUCUUGAACCUCAUUCCUAAACUGCUCCCGCAACAUUGCGAAAUCCAGUGCUAUGUCGGGUAGAAUUCACAGGACUCUUCAGGUUUUAUUUUUGUUACCAAGAAAGCAGGGUGAAUGACUUUGGACUCUUCUGUUGCUUAGUCUCCUAUCUCGCCAUCUACCGACACUCCUUUGCCCUCGUGCCACCUUCCAGUGCGCCCAACUCCAGUAAUCCCACUCUGUGCAGCUCCUGUAAUCACGAGACGUGGGGAAUCAGAGAACCCUCCCGGUUUUCUAGACAGUCUUCUCUUAGCUACAUUCCAACUCUUAAGGGGGAAACAGAGCCUUUUCUACUCUACAAGUACCUGUACUUCUCCGGAUUCCCUUGGCCAAUCCCAAACCCUUCUUCCCUAUGCUCUUCUGUACCCAACGAUACCCCAGGUUGAAAGUGCUGGUCCUGCUGGAGUAAGCCAUAGUGGAACUUCCUAUCGCCCAGGACCAGGGAAAAUACGCCCACUUAGGGAAGUGGCAUAUGGCAAAGGCACAAUCGAGUACAUGCGCCCUUCUUCUUAACCGAUUUAGCCCAAUGCAAACAAAGACUGGGCCAAUUUUCUGAAGACCCUAGUAGGUUCACGGGGGAUUUCAGGCCCUAACCCUGGCCCUUGAUUUAACUUGGAAGGACGUCCAAAUGAUCUUACCUACCUGCUGUACCCAUGAGGAGAAGCAGAGGAUAUGGGCAGCAGCACAGGUGUACGCCGACCAGUUUGCCAGGGACCAGCCCAACGUUUAUGUCCCAAAUCAUAAGCCCAUUUGGGAUUAUAAUUGCCUGGGGGGGGGGAAGGCCAGGAAUCACGAGGUCCAGUGCCUAUUAGAAGGAACGAGAAAGUGCAUUUGGAAGCCAGUCAAUUAUGAAAAGGUCAAGGAAGUGACCCAAGAGGAAGAAGAAAGCCCUGUUCUCUUUCAGGGACAGCUUGUGGAGGCUUUUUAGAAAAUUUGCUAACAGAUCUCUCUGCUCCCAGGGUUCAGUCCCUGCUGCCCCUGAUAUUAGGCAAAAACUCCAAAAGUUAGUUAGGCCCACAAACUCCUAGAGGUGACCUUUGGAAUAUUUUAUAAUGGAGAUCAAACUGAGGAAGAGGAUAGAACUCAACAUGGAAAAAGGCACGCCGAGGCUCACGCUAAACUGAUAGCUGUUGCUGUCAGCCGUGCCUUGCAACCUCAGGGCAACCCAAAGGGGGCAAGAAGGUUCAACCAUCAGUCCGGAGGCAAGACCAAGGGGGGAUGCUUUAAAUGCAAGUCACCUGACCAUUGGGCCCAUGAGUACCAGAAGAAGCUCCCGGGCCUUGCCCAGUCUGCAAACAGACCAGUCAUUGGAGAUGGGACUGCCCUUGGUCCCCAAGGGGAAUGGGGGCUCCUGCUCCUGAGAUGGCCAUGCUGGAUAACUGAAGCAGCCCAGGGAUUCUGGCGGUUCCCCCCGUCCCCACAAGAUGUCUAUCUCCUUUGAGGAGCCCCUGGUGGCAGGAACCUGAAGACCCACAUCCCAGCUAUUCCUGUGAACCUGCCCAAGACCUCAAAUACCUCUUCAAGAAGGUGAUCCCCAAGCCAGUGACAACUGCAUUGAUAAACCUUCCAGAUUGGCAGCUCUCCCUUCCUGUCUCCUGGAACACUUAUUCUUGGAACCCAGCUGCCAUACUGUGAGAAAGCCAAGGUGGCCUCAUGGAGAAGCCCAGGUGGAGAGGACCCCACUUGCCAUCCACGUGAGUGAAGAAGACACCCUGGCAGGUUCCAUGCAGAGCCAAGGUGAGCUGUCCCCACCGAGCACUGCGUCCCGGCCACACUGCAGACUCUGAGCAUUUGGAAAUGUCUGUCACAUGGCAUAGAGAAGGAGAACAGGUACCCAGCAAGGGGGAGAAAAGGGACCAGUUUGGUGGGAAAGUUCAGGAAGGUAGCUUUGGCGGGAUCUGGGGAUGCCCAGAUUCUCGGGAUCUUCUAAUCUAGAGAGAAGACCUCCCACAGGCCAGGCCAGGUCCCUGAAGCAGGGUUUGGAGUUGAAGUGAGCCCUGGGGCUGAGGUACAGGUGAGGAGUGAGGUCUGUGUCCCUGGGGAGGGGGAUACAGACUUACAAGCCCUCAACCCUUCCGGUAUAGGGCUGGCUCUGCUGGACAGGGGAGGGGCUACAUGGUUCCAUGUCCCAGCAAAGGGAUGGAACAACCCCAGGACUCACUUCUGAACCCUUAUCCCAGCACCCUCUGCUGGCCCAGAUUCCUGGUCCCCUCAUGUCCAGGGCCUUCAGCUCCUACACUCUGCCCUCUGACUUGCCCUUCCAUGUGUCUGACCCCCUUGUCCUAGAGUGAUGUGUGCCAUGAGUCCCCAGACACGAGAACCCUCUGGAACCUAUGACCUGGGGCAGUCUCUCUCUGGAACCCGAUUUUCCAAGCCCUCAAGCUUCACGCUCACAUUCCCAGUCACCCACAGGGUGUGGCCCUCAAGCCAGGCAGCCUUAGACAGGAAUGAGAGUCCUCCUCGACCUUUGUCCCAGGCUCUGCUUGGAGCCUCCUCCUCUGGGCAAACUUCCUGGGCUUCUCCCACCCCAACUCUUGCUCCGCAGAUACGGAAACACGUUUGCUCUCCAGUGGUUCUUGGGGGACUUCACUGCCUCCACGCCAGCCUGUGAGCUUCCAGAGUACAGUGCCCAUCGUGCCCACUCCUGCCCUCACCAAGCACGGGAAUGAGAGCUACAGGACUGAGCAGGGCAGAGUGAGGCUGGGCUUCAGUGUCCUUUAGCAAAGGGGGAAGGGCAGAGCCCCCAAAACUUGUGCCCUCAGAGCACCUCCCAAGAAGACAGUCCUAAGGAAUUCAGCUGUCUGCGAUCUGAGGACAAGGGACCCUGGCUGGGAGUGGUGCCAGAAGGCAGAGGCCCCGGCUGGGUCCCUGGCUUGCUGACUGACCCCGGGCGUGUAGCAUACACAGUCUGGGCCUGCUCCCCUCUCUGUGAAAUGAGGGGGCGGGAGGAACUGAUCUCCGAGGUCCCUUCCAGCUCAAACACCUUAUGUUCUAUGAAAUCCUUGUGAACGUUGCUAUGGAGACAUCAGAGAGGAACUGCAGCAGCACGGAAUGUGACUUCCACCAGAGUUACCUGAGGAAACAGCUCGUGUCAGAGGAGCCCUCCCCGCACCGCCCCAGAGGCCUGGGUGCACAGGGGCCACACUGAGUGUCCUGCUUCCAAGAGGACACACCUACCUGCCCCGCCCUCCCCCAUGUGACACUGAGGCCCUGUAGGUAGUAAGGGGUGUGUGUCCAUCCCUGCCUGAGUGGAAAAGGACCAAUUGGUGGGAGGGCUGGAGCACAGGGCUGUUUCCCUGUAGGUCCGCCCUCUGUCCUUGCUUCCCACAGCUGCUCAGGUACUCACACCUGAACACUCUUGGCGGUCUCAGGACAUAAAACGUGCCUGCCGCAGAGUGGUGGAUGCAGGGGGAGGCCUCAAUCUGAUCCAUACUCUGCACUGAGGCCCCAUGUGGGUGAGACCUCUGGACUCCAGCAGCACAGAACACCGCCAGCUGCCUCGUGGCUCCAGGGUACCACACAUGGCCUCAUGGCAGGGGAGUCAUCGGUGUUGGUGUAAAGGAAUAAAAUGAACCCUGGUGUAACCAUGACAACCACUGAAGUCUGCGCACUUGGAGUACCCCUGGAGUGGGCCAAGUGCUUCACUUGCAUUGUCUUUUCUUUUCUCUUAAUUAUAAAAAUAAUAUAUGAGUUUUGCAGGCAUGUCAACAACACAAAAGGGAAAGGCAAGAAUAAAAGUCUUCAUUCCCCCACCAGAUCUUGUCCUUCAGGAGUAACCACUAUUAGGUUUGGUAAUGACUCCUGGGUGAGUUUCCUAUUGCUGCUGUGGCACAAACACAGUGGCACAAGACAACUCAAAUUUAUCAUCCUACACUCAGAGGCCAGAAGUGUGAGAUGAGUCUAAUGGGACUAAAGUCAAGGUGUCAGCAAGGCUGAUUCCUUCUGGGGGCUCCAGGGGAGAAUCCUUGCCUCUUCAGCUUCUGGUGGCCUCCAGCUUUCCUUGGCUCAUGGCCACAUCACUGCAAUUUCCAUUUCCAUAGCCACUUGGCCUUCUCUUCUUCUGCCAUCAAAUCUGCUUAUUUAUUUAUUUUUUUAGCCAUGCUGCACGGCUUGUGGGAUCUCAGUUCCACGACCAGGGAUUGAAGCAGGCCCUCGGCAGUGGAAGUGCAGAGUCCUAACCACUGAACUGCCAGGGAAUUCCCAAAUCUCCUUAUAAGGACAUUUGUGACUACAUUUAUGGCCCACCUGGAUAGUCCAGGAUCAUCCCCCACCUCAAGAUCAUUAAUUUAAUCACAUCUGCAAGGCCCCUUUUGCCAUGGAAGGUAACAUUCACAGGUUCUGGGGAUUAGGACCUGUAUAUCUUUGGGGUCCAUUAUUCAGCUGCAACAGGGCCAUUCAAGUUUUCUAUUUUGGGACUUUGAAACAAGGGUUCUGUGGCUGAACAGACCUAAAAGUCACUGGACUAAGGAUUCCUUUUUCUAUCUUUGUCCAAGUUUUUUUAGGUAUCCAAAUUAUGUUACUAAACACAUUGCAUAUUUAUGCAUAAAUAUGCAUAAAGUACAUUGAGAUAUGAUCCUUGUUCUCUAAGAGUAUAAAUAAAAUCAUAACUAUCUGAUCUUUCCACAUUUGAUAGGAUUUUUCCAUUAAAAGAUCUGGACUAGGGCUUUCCUGGUGGCGCAGUGGUUAAGAAUCCACCUGCCAGGGACUUCUGUGGUGGUCCAGUGGUUAAGAAUCCGCCUGCCAGUUCAGGCAACACAAGUUCCAGGCCUGAUCCGGGAAGAUCCCACAUGCCGCGGAGCAACUAAGACCGUGUGCCACAGCUACUGAGCCUGCGCUCUAGAGCCUGCAAGCUACAACUACUGAGCCUGCGCCCCUAGAACCUGUGCCUCUGCAACAAGAGAAGCCACCUCAAUGAGAAGCCCGCACACCGCAACGAAGAGUAGCUCCGACUCCCCACAACUAGAGAAAGCCUGUGCACAGCAAUGAAGACCCAAUGCAGCCAAAAAAAAAAAAAAAACCAACCAAAACAAA